rnacentral:rRNA from 1 species
UACGUAGGGUGCGAGCGUUGUCCGGAAUUACUGGGCGUAAAGAGCUCGUAGGUGGUUUGUCGCGUUGUUCGUGAAAACCGGGGGCUUAACCCUCGGCGGGCGGGCGAUACGGGCAGACUGGAGUACUGCAGGGGAGACUGGAAUUCCUGGUGUAGCGGUGAAAUGCGCAGAUAUCAGGAGGAACACCGGUGGCGAAGGCGGGUCUCUGGGCAGUAACUGACGCUGAGGAGCGAAAGCGUGGGGAGCGAACAGG